UUGCGUUAGCCGCGACGAUGGCGCCCCCCAGUGGCAGCAGGGAGGCUGUGGGGGUGCUGGGCGUUGCGGUGUGCAGGUUUUCUGGGAGGAUACCUGGCGCCGACCUUGAAGGGACCCCAACGUGAGAGGGAAAGACGCCCGUGAUGCCAAGGCUUGGGCAGCGGACAGCCAAAAUCCUGAAACCCCGCGGUGCUCCCUGUGAUUCACUUUCCAGAGGCCCCUCAGUGCCCCGACGCUGGCCCGGAGGGCGGUCGCUGACUGUCUUGAGACUGAAGCUCACUUUCGGAUCCUGGGCGUUCUUGCCAGGUUUUUUUUAUUAAUACAGAGAAAACCAGUGGCUUUGUGACAGUUAGUUUUGAAACUCCCUGAGGAGGGCCGAGCGCAGUGGCUCACGCCUGUAAUCCUAGCGCUUUGGGAGGCCGAGGUGGGCGGAUCUCCUGAGGUCAGGAGUUCAAGACUAGCCUGGCCAACAUGGUGAAACCCCGUCUACUAAAAAUACAAAAAAUUAGCCGGGCGUGGUGGCGGGCACCUGUAAUCCCAGCUACUCAGGAAGGCUGAGGCAAGAGAAUCGCUUGAACCCGGGAGGCGGAGGUUGCGGUGAGCCUAGAUCGUGCCAUUGCACUCCAGCCUGGGCAACAAGAGCGAAACUCAGUCUCAAAAGAAAGGGAGAAAGGGAGAAAGAGAGAGAGGAAGGGAGGAAGGAAGGAAGGAAGAAAAGAGAAAGAAAGAGUCCCUGAGGAGCAAGCAAUUCCCUCAGCCAAAGAGCUUUUGCUCUCAAGUCUCGUUUGGUCAUGCUAAGCCACAGUUUGGGGACUCCUAGGAGCAGCCAUCACAGGUAACCAGUUCUGCUGGCUCAGGAUGGCCCCUGCUGCCCUGACUCAGAGACACUUCCUGCAAGGCAGACAUCUCAUGCAGAGCAGAGGCCACUGCAGUCAGAAGGAAGGGCCUGGUAGCCUCAGAGGCACAGCCAAGGGGCUGCAACGAUGGAAAGGAGAUAUUCCACAAGUCCAAGAGUGUGACAUGGAAGCACACUCUGGGAUGUGGUGGACUCAAGUGAUCCAUGCAGAUGUGGAUGCUGUCUCUCUUUCUCUGUUCAUAGAGUGUGGCAUGGGUCCUCUCUGGGUGAAAAUAGGUGCCCAGAAUUAAUCACACACUUCCAUUCAAAAUAAACUGUGCCAACUUGCUGAACCACAAAAUGAUUUCCUCGCCAUGGCCCCUAAAUAACUCCGUGAUAAGAACUGUAUGCUAUUGAUGGCUCUGAAGUCCAAAUUUAUUGGCAAAAGCAAAGAACAUGCCUGAACUAGUCAUUUCUGCAGGCGUUUCUCCUUAAGAUGAGUUUGAAGCCAAUUGGUUAUGUGAAGAAUAGCAAUCAGUUCUUUCUCACACUGGAGGAGGAGGAAGCACAAAAGAAAGUUCAAGGGUCAAGCCUCCCAAAAGGCUCUGUUAUAAUCCUAUGUGCUCUUUCAUUGUAUCUAGUGAUGAAUUUGGGUAACUGACACUUUACUCAUUGGCCAUCUAUCCUUGAACUUGAUAAGCAUUUUCAUUUAUGUAAGUUUACUUGUAAUUCUUCCAAAACUUAUCUUCACAUUUCCCAACAAACUAAUUUCAGACAUUUUGUUUUUAUGAUUCUAUUGUGACAGGAACCUCCAUUUCAAUAUACUUGUUGCAGGUAUAGAUUUUGUGCAUUGCUUUGUGGUGUUGAUUUGUCCAUCUUUUGUAUUCUGCCUAGCUUAUUGUAAUCUUGAUUUUUAAAGUUUUCAAUUGGGUUUUUAAAGUAUGUUAAUGUUAAUAAAUGCAUUUUUAGGUUUCCUUUCCCAA